ACUCCUACGGGAGGCAGCAGUGAGGAAUAUUGGACAAUGGGCGCAAGCCUGAUCCAGCCAUGCCGCGUGCAGGAAGACGGUCCUAUGGAUUGUAAACUGCUUUUAUACAGGAAGAAACACCUCUACGUGUAGAGACUUGACGGUACUGUAUGAAUAAGCAUCGGCUAACU
rnacentral:rRNA from 1 species